UACGUAGGGGGCUAGAGUUGUCCGGAUUUACUGGGUGUAAAGGGUGCUCAGGUGGAUUUGUAAGUCAGAGGUGAAAUCCCAAAGCUUAACUUUGGAGCUGCCUUUGAUACUGCGAGUCUUGAAUUUGAGAGAGGGUAAUGGAAUAUCUGGUGUAGCAGUGAAAUGCGUAGAUAUCAGAUAGAACACCAAUGGCGAAGGCAGUUACCUGGCUCAAAAUUGACGCUAAAGCACGAAAGUGUGGGGAGCAAACAGG
rnacentral:rRNA from 1 species